ACUAUAAAAGAAUUCACAAAUCUGUAGGGUUAAUUAUGGUGACCAUAUUUAAACAAGGUCUAAGUACUUAAUUGAGUUAUUAGUUAUCAGUUGAAGAUAAAAUCAAUGAAAUAUCAGACACAGCUCAGUCUUAUCUCUGACUGGGUAAGGUCAGUCAUUAGUGAAAGUAGAUUACCAGGUAUCAAGAUGUAUUUUCUGUGUUAAGUAUUUCUGUCAAUAAUAAAAUCAUAGUGCAGUGUCUCCAAAUGUGUAUACUUUAAUCGACAAACAUGGCUACAAAUUCCUGGAGGCAAGUCUGUAAAAGCAUCUGGAAGUAAGAGGAAGGUAAACUGGAGCCAAUCUUAAUAUUCACAUCAAAACAACUCUUCCCACCAUGGCUACAUUUUGUGUACAAGUCGUGUACCGAAUAUAGAACAGCUGGAAUACUAAUUAGGAAUUCUUGACGGACCCCUGGCGAGAAGUUAUUCUUGGUGUUAUGUGACCAGACUCCUACAUCAAAAAUCAAAUUGUACGUUGAGGCGGCAUGGGAUUUCCUAAAUUAAGAAUUAAUUAGGCCUAUUAGCAAAGAGCUAAUGAUUAGAGAAGGAAAGAGGUGUAUUUCAAGAAGUAUUAACAAAACUCAACAUAUGUGCCAAAUAUUUGCGGUCUGCGGCAUUGUACUUUUAUCUAAAAUCAAUAUUUUGGAAACAAUUUUUUUAAAUGAUAAUUUUCUUGCUGACUGAUUUUACCAUUUUGUUAAGUAUCAAAGUUGCUGUUAUAUAAAUGAUAAAGAUGUAAUCGAGAAACCAGUAAACCAGAAACAUUAAUAAAGUUAUUAAGAAAUAAUCUGGAUGUAUUUGUAAUAUAUAAGGGAAAAAUGACUUUUAUUACAAAAAUUUAUACAUUUCUGUACAGUAAAAACCUUACAAGAUUGUCUUGUUAAGGAAACUUUCUGUACUUCCUUAUAGCUCUCUGUCUUGUGGCCAGCCUUAAUAUAUUAAGAAUGACGAGCUUUGCUGAAAGGUGGGACUCAUGGUGGGUCAUCAAUUUAUGUUAAAAAUGACUUGAAGUAUGAUAUAAUAGAUUUAUCCCAGUAUUGCAUUGAUUUUAUCUGUGAAGUCUCAGCAAUUAAACUGGUACACUAUGAUCUUAUCAUUGUGUCAGUUUAUAGAACUCCAAAUUCAGAUUUUAGGGAUUUUUAAAUAAGUUAGAUGUUUUAAUGUCAUAUAUAGUAUCUAAAUCUUGCAAAUAUUUUUGCUAUAACAGGUGAUUUUAAUGUAAAUAUUUUAGAAACUCAUAGGUUAGAUGUUCAAUGUUUUUUAGAUGUUUUUAGAUCCUUUAAUUUAUUUCCAACUAAUUUUAAAGCAACUAGAGAUUUGGCCUGUUUGGACAAUGUAUUCACAAAUUUGGAUGGUAGUAGUUUUGACUCCUCCUUACUUGAACAAGACCUAAUAUCAGACCAUGCUGGCUUAUGGGUAAAAUUUUUCAUUUU